UACGGAGGGAGCUAGCGUUGUUCGGAAUUACUGGGCGUAAAGCGCACGUAGGCGGCUUUGUAAGUUAGAGGUGAAAGCCCGGGGCUCAACCCCGGAAUUGCCUUUAAGACUGCAUCGCUUGAAUCCAGGAGAGGUGAGUGGAAUUCCGAGUGUAGAGGUGAAAUUCGUAGAUAUUCGGAAGAACACCAGUGGCGAAGGCGGCUCACUGGACUGGUAUUGACGCUGAGGUGGCGAAAGCGUGGGGAGCAAACAGGG
rnacentral:rRNA from 1 species